AGGAGAGGGAGAGCGGCCGACGGUAGGACUGGAUCCAGCUGAGGAAGUUCCCUCCUCCAAGGGCAAGAUGGACAGGCGUAAGCCUGUACGGCGAGAGUCGUGGCAAGGGCUCAGAAACGACACAGUUCCGGCCAUAGGAUGAUCCACCUGGUGGUGACAUUUCCGGAGAUUUGGUGAAACGGCGACUCCCCAUCGGAGCAAGUUCAUACAACGGGGAAGACCUGCCCGGGACCCGUGGGUAGAAUGCGAAGUUGAAUGCCGCUUUAAACAGAAGGGGGGCUACUACCCUCACCU
rnacentral:RNase_P_RNA from 1 species